ACGCCAAGACUUGAUUUGGUCAAUUUGGUAAACUCAAAGACAAAGAAGUAAAAUUGUAUAAGGCAUAAGGCGAUCGGAUAGGUGUCCGAAUUUCGAAUAGCAUAAACUACGCUAUGAUCAAUAAGUUGACAGCAUAAGAACAAAAACUCUCUUUAAAAAAAGUAAAUGAAAGUUCAAUAUAGAGUCAUAUUUUCAUGGAAACAAGGAAGAGGCAGUAACAGGUGAUGGGGCAUUUUUAGCCGCAUUUAGCAGUUGUACUCUGAAGACAAUCUGAACCAAAAAUCAUUUUAACGUUGAUAGCAAUCCUGUAUUGUCUCUCUUCUCGCGUUGAGAUAACAUAACUUCAACCUGCAUCCAUAACAAGUUGCCCUUUAUAAGGUUGGCCAGGAGUUGACAUCUGAUAGUCAACUGUUAUGGGACAGUGGGAGUGUCAGAAUGCUGAAAGCAGAUUACUAAAGGUUGUUAGCCUACUGCACAACCCCUCUGUCCCAGGGAGGGGGAUGCACCUUUUGUCAGGCCCCUUUCCUAACAGACCUGUCCGGCUUUUAAGUACCUGCCAUGAGUGAUGAACUCCCGAUGGUAUAGCUCUGAGGAUCAUUGAGGCAUGCUAGCUGUCACACCGUGUCAAGCUGAUCCUCAUGACUGAUCUCAGUGCAGCUGACCAUUGUCCUUGUUUAAAGAACAGCAAUUGGGAACCAGUAGAAUGAGAACACAAUCAGAAUCAACCACCCACUGAAAUAUGCUUAAAUCUUUCCAUUGAAGUCUGUGAUGUGUUAUGUUCUAAAAUUGACCUGAGUAUAACAAACUCACUAGAGACUAUGACAACAAUGAAUGUGGCCAUGUAAUCAACACACUGGAGUCAUUGAUUCAUUGACACUCUUCCUACUUUUGAAUCUUCAUUCCCUGAGCUGUAUCUGGGUCAAUAGGCCACAUGUAGUUUACCUGUACCUGGUAGAUUAUUUUAACAACAACCUUCGAUUCAACUGUCCUUAAUGCUUUUAAGAAUGAUCUUCAUUAGUAAACAGUAACAGUUCAUCAUGGAAAUGUGGCAUCUCAUGGGCAUGUCAUACACUUCUCACAAAUGU
rnacentral:sRNA from 1 species